AAGUGUUUUUUUGUUUAUUGGGUUAAAAGGAGGGCGGGCGGUUGGUGAGUGGGACGUGAAACCCUUGGGUUAACGGAAGAGGGGCAUUGGUACCGGGGAACGUGGGUACAGAAGAGGAGAGUGGAAUUCCAUGGGUAGCGGUGUAUUGCGUAGAUAGACGGAGGAACUCCUGAGGUGGGGGCGACUGUAUGGUUUGUGAUUGACGAUGAAGCUCGUAAGAGUGGGUAGCAAACAGGAUUAGAUAGCUUGGCAGUCCACGCCGUGUACGCUGAGUGAUAAGUGUUGGAUCUUCAGUGUUGCAGUUAACUCAUUAUGCACUCUCUUGGGGAGUACGAUCGCAAGUUUGAAGCUCAAAGGAAUUGAUGGGGGCCCGCGCAAG
rnacentral:rRNA from 1 species